rnacentral:piRNA from 1 species
UAAUAGUUCCAUGUAACACUUACUAAGUGC